rnacentral:tRNA from 1 species
GACAGUGUGGUGUAGUGGUUUGAGUGUUGACUAGGACUCUGAGAGACCAGGGUUCAAAUCCCCACGCAGCCA